rnacentral:rRNA from 1 species
CCUACGGGAGGCAGCAGUAGGGAAUAUUGGGCAAUGAAGGAAACUCUGACCCAGCAACACCGCGUGAAUGAUGAAGGUCUUCGGAUUGUAAAGUGCUUUUCUAAGGGAAGAAGAAAGUGACGAUGCCUUAAGAAUAAGCCUAGGCUAACUACGUGGAAGCAGCCGCCGUAAUACGUAGGAGGCCAGCGGUAUCCGGAAUGACUGGGCGUAAAGUGUGCAUAGGUGGUUUGACAAGUUGGUAGCGUAAAUCCGGGGCUCAACCUCCGCAAUACUAUGAAAACUGGCGGACUUGAGUGCAGGAGGGGUAAACGGAAUUCCUAGUGUAGCGGUGGAAUGCGUAGAUAUUAGGAGGAACACCAGUGGCGAAGGCGAUUUGCUGGACUUUAACUGACACUGAGGGACGAAAGCGUGGGGAGCAAACAGGAUUAGAUACCCCAGUAGUC